GUCCUCGCUGAUCCAUGGAUUUCUGUGUGACCAGGUCCCGGGCUGGACAGAGAGUGACUCUACAGGGAGCUGAGCCAUGAGACUCAGCACGUCACCCACCUGGGCUCCUUCACCCUGGACUGGGACAGCCUCUACGUCAGUGGUUACACCUAUGGAGACGUGGCGUCGACUACCACCAGCUUGCUCAUCCCUCUACUCACACA